AUGACUACUCGUUUUUUAUUGUGUAUAUCAACGCCGUUUGGCUCCAUUGACUAACUUACCUUGCGAUUGCGUGUUAAUUUACGCCGUCGCAAGUAGUAUGAAAGGACGAAACUUCACAUUUGUACUUUUCCUAAACCCAAA